rnacentral:rRNA from 1 species
GUGAUCUAAAUAUCUUAAAAUUCGAAUUCCACGAAACCAAAUGAGCUAAAUUUAAUUUUUUUAUUAGAAUUUCACAUUGCGUAGUAUAGCUAAAAUAUUUAAUUAAAUUUAGUGGUGAAAGGCCUUUCAAAUCUGGGGAUAUCUUGAUAUUAAGGAAAUAUAUUUAGUAUAAUAUUCAACCUAUAAAUGGUGAGGUUUAUAGGGGCUAUAAUUUUAGGAUUUCUUAUAUUUAGAAUUUAUAAAAAAUACUAAUUAGUAAUAUUAACAUUAAUCUCUUUAAUUAUAUAGAUAUUACUUAAUUUAAUAAAUUUUACUUUGAAUUUAUUUAAAAAUGAUUUUCAUUAGUAUUAUUAAAUAAUUUAAAUUAGGAACUCGGCAAACUUUAUUCUCGACUGUUUAUCAAAAACAAGUUUUAAGUAUAUAAUUUAAAAUUCAACCUGCUCAAUGAAAUUUAAAUAGCCGCAGUACUUUGACUGUGCAAAGGUAGCAUAAUCAAUUGGCUUAUAAUUGAAGUCUAGUAUGAAUGGGAAUUCGGGAAGAGACUGUCUUAUUUAAAUUUCUAGAACUUACUUAUUUAGUGAAAAUUCUAAUACUUAGAAAAAAGACGAGAAGACCCUAGAAAUUUUUUAAAUAAAGUUUCUACUCUUUUAAUUUUGUUGGGGCGACAAGGUAACAUUUAACUUACCUUAUAAAUGAGAAACUAUUUAGUUGAAUAAAUAAAUUACUCUAGGGAUAACAGCAUAAUAUUUUAAAGAUUGUGACCUCGAUGUUGGACUAGGGAGUGAAGUAUUUAAAAGGUACUUUAAUAGGCUCUGUUCGAGCUUUGUACCCUACAUGGAUCUGAGUUCAGACCGG